AGAGUUUGAUCAUGGCUCAGAUUGAACGCUGGCGGCAGGCCUAACACAUGCAAGUCGAACGGUAACAGGAAGCAGCUUGCUGCUUCGCUGACGAGUGGCGGACGGGUGAGUAAUGUCUGGGAAACUGCCUGAUGGAGGGGGAUAACUACUGGAAACGGUGGCUAAUACCGCAUAACGUCGCAAGACCAAAGAGGGGGACCUUCGGGCCUCUUGCCAUCAGAUGUGCCCAGAUGGGAUUAGCUUGUUGGUGAGGUAACGGCUCACCAAGGCGACGAUCCCUAGCUGGUCUGAGAGGAUGACCAGCCACACUGGAACUGAGACACGGUCCAGACUCCUACGGGAGGCAGCAGUGGGGAAUAUUGCACAAUGGGCGCAAGCCUGAUGCAGCCAUGCCGCGUGUAUGAAGAAGGCCUUCGGGUUGUAAAGUACUUUCAGCGGGGAGGAAGGUGUUGUGGUUAAUAACCGCAGCAAUUGACGUUACCCGCAGAAGAAGCACCGGCUAACUCCGUGCCAGCAGCCGCGGUAAUACGGAGGGUGCAAGCGUUAAUCGGAAUUACUGGGCGUAAAGCGCACGCAGGCGGUCUGUCAAGUCGGAUGUGAAAUCCCCGGGCUCAACCUGGGAACUGCAUUCGAAACUGGCAGGCUUGAGUCUUGUAGAGGGGGGUAGAAUUCCAGGUGUAGCGGUGAAAUGCGUAGAGAUCUGGAGGAAUACCGGUGGCGAAGGCGGCCCCCUGGACAAAGACUGACGCUCAGGUGCGAAAGCGUGGGGAGCAAACAGGAUUAGAUACCCUGGUAGUCCACGCCGUAAACGAUGUCUACUUGGAGGUUGUGCCCUUGAGGCGUGGCUUCCGGAGCUAACGCGUUAAGUAGACCGCCUGGGGAGUACGGCCGCAAGGUUAAAACUCAAAUGAAUUGACGGGGGCCCGCACAAGCGGUGGAGCAUGUGGUUUAAUUCGAUGCAACGCGAAGAACCUUACCUGGUCUUGACAUCCACGGAACUUUCCAGAGAUGGAUUGGUGCCUUCGGGAACCGUGAGACAGGUGCUGCAUGGCUGUCGUCAGCUCGUGUUGUGAAAUGUUGGGUUAAGUCCCGCAACGAGCGCAACCCUUAUCCUUUGUUGCCAGCGGUCCGGCCGGGAACUCAAAGGAGACUGCCAGUGAUAAACUGGAGGAAGGUGGGGAUGACGUCAAGUCAUCAUGGCCCUUACGACCAGGGCUACACACGUGCUACAAUGGCGCAUACAAAGAGAAGCGACCUCGCGAGAGCAAGCGGACCUCAUAAAGUGCGUCGUAGUCCGGAUUGGAGUCUGCAACUCGACUCCAUGAAGUCGGAAUCGCUAGUAAUCGUGGAUCAGAAUGCCACGGUGAAUACGUUCCCGGGCCUUGUACACACCGCCCGUCACACCAUGGGAGUGGGUUGCAAAAGAAGUAGGUAGCUUAACCUUCGGGAGGGCGCUUACCACUUUGUGAUUCAUGACUGGGGUGAAGUCGUAACAAGGUAACCGUAGGGGAACCUGCGGUUGGAUCACCU
rnacentral:rRNA from 2 species